UAUCAUCUCCUCCCAAUGGCGGAUUUGGAGUUAUAGUGGUGAGCACAUACAAGCCUGCGCCAAAGGGGAUCGAGGCGAACAUAACAUUGCAAGGUUUGUUAGAGUGAUUAGCUAAUUCAAUUUUGAAUCGACUCACUUUGGCAUCUAGGGGAAAGCAUACUGCCUUACUUAUAGAUAUGGAGGGAGCAGAAAGAAAGGAAAAAAAAUAUCUUAAAAUAGCAGCUA
rnacentral:lncRNA from 1 species